AUUGAACGCUGGCGGCAGGCCUAACACAUGCAAGUCGAGCGGAGCGGCGGACGGGUGAGUAAUGCCUAGGAAUCUGCCUGGUAGUGGGGGAUAACGUCCGGAAACGGGCGCUAAUACCGCAUACUAUCAGAUGAGCCUAGGUCGGAUUAGCUAGUUGGUGGGGUAAAGGCCUACCAAGGCGACGAUCCGUAACUGGUCUGAGAGGAUGAUCAGUCACACUGGGACUGAGACACGGUCCAGACUCCUACGGGAGGGAGCAGUGGGGAAUGUUGGGCAAUGGGCGAAAGCCUGAUCGAGCCAUGCCGCGGGUGUGAAGAAGGUCUUCGGAUUGUAAAGCACUGUAAGUAGGGAGGCGUUACCAACAGAAUAAGCGCCGGCUAACUUCGUGCUAGCAGCCGCGGUAAUAC
rnacentral:rRNA from 1 species